CCUCCUCCAAGAUGGUCCUCAGAUCGGACAAGGUUUGUCCCUCCCUUUCCAGCGCCUCCCGGAGACUUAGGACCUUGACGAUUUUCUCCUCAAGGUGGGCGGCCCUGGCUAGGCGACCUUCUUCUGCCCGAACUGCCUCCCUCUUGGCGAUCUUCACCGCCUCGACGUUGGCGACGAGCUGGUGCCCAAUCUGCAAGAAAGGUCGGGGAGUCGACAUAAGGGCUAGAGAAUAAAUUAAAGAAGCGGAAAGGAGGAAAAAGAUGAGUUAACCUACUUCGAAGAAAGAUCCCAGAGAGUCUCAAACCCGCUGCU
rnacentral:lncRNA from 1 species